rnacentral:rRNA from 1 species
GGCUCGAGGACGACGCUGGCGGCGUGCUUAACACAUGCAAGUCGAACGAGACGAUUUAGAAGCUUUGCUUUUUAUUGAGUCGAGUGGCGGACGGGUGAGUAAUGCGUGAGCAACCUGCCUUUCAGAGGGGGACAACAGUUGGAAACGACUGCUAAUACCGCAUGAUAUAUUCGGAUCGCAUGGUCUGGAUAUCAAAGAUUUAUCGCUGAAAGAUGGGCUCACGUCUGAUUAGUUAGUUGGUGAGGUAACGGCUCACCAAGACUGCGAUCAGUAGCCGGACUGAGAGGUUGAACGGCCACAUUGGGACUGAGAUACGGCCCAGACUCCUACGGGAGGCAGCAGUGGGGAAUAUUGGGCAAUGGGCGAAAGCCUGACCCAGCAACGCCGCGUGAAGGAAGAAGGUCUUCGGAUUGUAAACUUCUUUUAUCAGGGACGAAGGAAGUGACGGUACCUGAUGAAUAAGCCACGGCUAACUACGUG